rnacentral:lncRNA from 1 species
GGCGUUGCUAGCAGUGCAUUUUUACACAGAGGCAUUUGUGCGUGUGACCUUGGCUCUGGCUGAGAGCAAAGCUUCCUCAAGAGGGAGGGCAUGUGGCGUUUGGUUUUAAAUUUCAGCUGUUUUCAUGGCUUGUAUUGC